rnacentral:rRNA from 1 species
UACAGAGGUCUCAAGCGUUGUUCGGAUUCAUUGGGCGUAAAGGGUGCGUAGGCGGCGCGGUAAGUCGGGUGUGAAAUCUCGGAGCUUAACUCCGAAACUGCAUUCGAUACUGCCGUGCUUGAGGACUGGAGAGGAGACUGGAAUUUACGGUGUAGCGGUGAAAUGCGUAGAUAUCAGGAAGAACACCAAUGCGAAGGCAGCUCUCUGGGACGGUACUGACACUGAGACGCGAAAAGCGUGGGGGAGCGAACAG